rnacentral:rRNA from 1 species
GAUCCUGGCUCAGGAUGAACGCUAGCGACAGGCUUAACACAUGCAAGUCGAGGGGCAUCAUGAGGUAGCAAUACCUUGAUGGCGACCGGCGCACGGGUGAGUAACGCGUAUGCAACCUGCCUGAUACCGGGGUAUAGCCCAUGGAAACGUGGAUUAACACCCCACUAGUACUUUUAUCCUGCCUGGGAGUGGGAGUUAAAUGUUCAAGGUAUCGGAUGGGCAUGCGUCCUAUUAGUUAG